rnacentral:rRNA from 1 species
GAGUUUGAUCGUGGCUCAGAUUGAACGCUGGCGGCAUGCCUUACACAUGCAAGUCGAACGGUAACAGGUCUUCGGAUGCUGACGAGUGGCGAACGGGUGAGUAAUACAUCGGAACGUGCCCAGACGUGGGGGAUAACGAGGCGAAAGCUUUGCUAAUACCGCAUACGAUCUAAGGAUGAAAGCAGGGGACCGCAAGGCCUUGCGCGUUUGGAGCGGCCGAUGGCAGAUUAGGUAGUUGGUGGGAUAAAAGCUUACCAAGCCGACGAUCUGUAGCUGGUCUGAGAGGACGACCAGCCACACUGGGACUGAGACACGGCCCAGACUCCUACGGGAGGCAGCAGUGGGGAAUUUUGGACAAUGGGCGAAAGCCUGAUCCAGCAAUGCCGCGUGCAGGAUGAAGGCCUGCGGGUUGUAAACUGCUUUUGUACGGAACGAAAGGCUCUGGCUAAUACCUGGGGCACAUGACGGUACCGUAAGAUAAGCACCGGCUAACUACCGUGCCAGCAGCCG